rnacentral:lncRNA from 1 species
CCCGAACUUACGCUAAUACUAACUUUCCAACCCACACUGGAAGACACAGGCAUUUCAAUUUCAAUGCUAUCUGUCUACCUGACCCUGACCCUAACCCUAACCCUAGCCCUAACCCUACCAGAACAAUAAGUCAUCCUCAAGUACCACUCUUUCUGCACUAUCCAUGACCCUUCCAAAAAGAAGGACCCCAAUCCUAACAAUCAUGCCCACACUCCAAACGUCAGGUACAUGAAUUGGCACCCUAAACCUGAACCUACUCCUAACCCUAACCCUAACCCUACAGGCUCAGGAACGAAUCACAAUACACAGG